GAAGCCAUCUGACCUGGAUUGGAAUAGGGGUGUGGGAGAUUCUGGGGCUCCUUCUGAGGAAAGGUUAAACUGGCUCAACUCCAUCUAUAGCAAGACAGGAGGGUGGCUAAAUUCCCUUCCUGAGGACUGAAAACUUUCUUUCUUUCCUCCCCAGCCAUAGCCAAUCACUUUCUUCCAAAUCUGAAGAUUCUGCUGGUAUUUGGCACUGGAGGAUCCCAACCCACUUUACGGCUCGUCCCCAGUCUCACUGUCUUGACCAGUGCUGCUGUAAUGAAAAGCAUUGCCGGACUCCUAGUCCUUCCCAAGGGCCUGCCUGACCCAACACUUCCCCAGACACUGAAGGCAUUGCUACCUCCUUCCUUCCACACCUAUGACACUCCCCACACGGGGGAGCCUCCUGAGUGAGUUCCAGAGAGCCCAGGCAAGAGGCUACCAGAAGGUAGAGAGGCAGCAAAGUUGAGCAAAGGGUCAGCCUGUGUCCUCCAACCUGGCUCAGCAGACGGACCUGGACCCUCCUCACCCUACGGUGUCCUGCUCCAGGCAUCCAUUCUCCAGGCCAGCCCCUUCCCACCCAUUGAAGGCAACUACAGCUACUUUGGGGUAGACUAAGCAGGACGAAGCCUCCCCUCCCUGCAAUCUGUGGGUCCUUUCAUAUCUUUCAUCAAUAGCCACCUGCUACGGGGUUUCCAGUCCGGAGAAGUGGGAGUCUGGCCUUCCUCCUAACAUCGGUCUCUCCCACGCUCCACAGUCUCCUUGGCCUUGGACCACAAAGAUGGUUUCUCAAGUCAUCUUUCCUCCCAAUGCAGCUCUUCUCCUAGGACGUUCCUCUUGGAGACUGGGGCCAUCAUUCCGUGAAUGACAUGGGGCCGGAAAUCUGGAUACCGUCCUGGACCUCUCAGCCCCUAUCAGACUCUCUGUUAACAGAUGUUUACUGGGCAUCUUCAACAUGGUCCCACACCCUGUUCACGGUACUGAAGAGCAGCAGGCACAAAAUCCUUGCCUUCACAGGUUCGACCUCAGUGUUUGCAGUAUGGACUCUCCCCCUGAGAAUCUGUUACCUCAUUACCCUCCUGCCUAUUGUCCCCAUCCUUGUCCUCCCCUGUCUGGAAUCCUCUGCUUGGUAACCAACAUGAUCUCACAAACCCAUUUCUACCUUUUUGUUGUUGUUGUUUAUUUGUUUGCUUUUGAGAUAGGGUCUCA